UCCUGCUGUGCGUGGGGAACAGUCCAGUAGCUCUGGCCACAGCUCCCUAGCUACUCCUAGCAAACUGAGCCAGUUUAAUUCUCACUUUAAUGAGCUAGCCAAUUAAUUUCCUCUCCUCUUCACUCGCGCGGAGCCAGAGCAGCACGAUGAAAUGCCGGGGCUGCCCAGUAAAAAGAGCAGCCCUCUCCGCCACCCUUCCCGCACCCCUCCAUACCCCUUAAAAUAGACAGCCACCAAGGGACGAAGAGAUUCCGUAGGUUCCCGGUGCCACACUUGGCCAAGACGAGCGCAGGCUUCCCUGCAGCCCUGCCUCAGGGACUACUCCAAGGCGGGGACGAUGGGUGCAGAGAGGCAGAAGCAGAGACCCCCGCAAGAUAGAGUCCCGGCGGGUUCCAGGGUCAAGAAUCCCUAAGCCUUACAGGACUUCCUGGUCAGCGCCCCGUUUGCUUUGCGCACCUCAAGAUAACCUCCCCCGGCGCCCAGGGCCUGCCUAGACGCUCCACCCCCGCCGCCCCACGUGACCCACCGCCACAGCCACAGCCUCCGGGCGGAUCCUCGCUGGCCUCCGCGGCAGAGGGCUAAUUCCAGCGCUUCCCCUUCCAGGCAGAUCCGGGGUGCGGAGGUGGUCACGGCUUCUGCCUAACUGAGCUCUCCAAACAAGAGUCUCUUAGAAAAUCACAGAACAUGCCCAGGAGAAAAGAAAGAUCUGGUAGUGUUGGAGGAAGUCUUAUUUCUGGAGCUUUGGCAAAAGAAUAAAGGGAUUAAUUAAGAUGCGCCUAUUUAACUUUCUUCUUAGAAUUCCCACCACUGCUUUGUGUGCUGAUGGAUUCUGAAUAAACGCAUUCAAUGAAGAUUGCUUCUCGACUGAUUGAUCAUGUCUGAAUACUGAACUUCUAAAGACUCUCUGGAUUUAACAUCAGCUGCAUCAUGCUCCAAGUGUUUUUUUCUUGGGGCCUUGGAACUGAGCUCCAAUCCCUUUCUCCCAUCAGAUUGCUUCUUGGCUGAUUGAUCAUGUUGGAGUAUUGAACUUCUAAAGACUCUGGGUGUAACAUCGACUGCCAUCAAGGUUUUGCAAGAGUAAAUGUUAAAAGUAUCUUUACAUAUAUUUUUAAAAUAAAAAGCUAUUAUUAAAAUAAAUAAAUAAAUUUUAAAAAGAAGUUACAUGACUUGCUCAGGAUCAUACAGUUAAUAAGUAGCUGAGCCUGGAUUUGAAUUCAGUUUUCCUGAGUCUAGGUAUCCACUGUACCAAGUCUAUCAUACGACUCCAUAAAAGUAUUGAAUGAGCAAUACCAGAGUGUCAAUCAAAGGCAAUACCUUAUUUCUGUUGGUAUGUCCCAUGACCCACUCAAAGCAAUGAAGUCAUAGAACAGUUAUGAUUUUGUAUCUCAUCUUUCCCUGCCAAUGCUAAUAUUUUUUGUUAUUAUUAUUGAGUUAUUUCGUCAUAUUCUACUCUUUGUGACUUCCGGGACCAUGGAGUAUCCCACCCUUUUAUUUUUCACUAUCUCCCAAAGUUUAAGUUUGUGCUUAUUGUUUCUAUGGCACUCAUCCUCUACUAUCCCCUUCCCUUCUCUUCAAUUUUUCCCAAUAUCAGGAUCUUUUCCCAUGAGUCUCAGCUUAUGUGGCCAAGCAUUUAAGCUUCAGCUUCAGUAUUUGACCUUUCAAUAAAUGUUCUGAAUUAAUUACUUUAAAUAUUGACUAAAUUGAUUUCCUUGCUAUCCAAGAGACUCUCAAAAGUCUUCUCCAGCACCAUAAUUUGAAAGUGUUAAUUCUGCAGCACUGAGCUUUGCUUUUCACAGAUUUUUCAACAGUUGCUACUGGAAAAACAAUAGUUAUGACUAUGGUUUGACAAAGAUUCAUACCUUUCUUUUCAACAUGAUGUUUCUGGUUUUAAGUAUGCUGUCCAGAUUUGCUAUAACUUUCUUUCCAAAGAGCAAGAGUCUUUUAAUUAACUGCAUGACUGCAAGUUGUCAUCUGUAAUGAUCUUUGAGCCUAAGAAUAUAAAAUCUGACACUGCUUCCAUUUCUUCUUCUAUUUGCCAAGAAGUAAUGGGGCUAGUUGCUAUGAUUUUAGAAUUUUUUUUUAAGUUAAGCUUCAAGCCAGCUUUUGCACUUUCCUCUUUCAUACUCAUCAAAAGACUUCUUAAUUUUUUUUCACUUUCUGCCAUCAAUUGCAUAUCUGAGAUUGUUGAUAUUUUUCCUGGCAGCUUGACAUGUUGAAUUAUAUACUCUGUAUAUAAGUUAUAUAAAUAAGGUGACAAUAUACAGCUUUGUUACUCUCAUGUAAAUGGAGGUAGUGGGGAUAUGAGAUAAGAAAGAACACAACACAAAGAAAUAAAACAAAAGUGUUUAAACCUGCUCCAUGACUCAGAUAUAUGAAUGAAGUUGCCAAUAGUAUGUUAAGUAUUCUUUCCAUCAUCCAUAUCAAAGAUAAGUUUUAUUUAUUUAUAUUUGCAUGCAAUAUUUCUGAAAUACUGUAGGCAUUUUCCAUCCUUGUACUUACAGGCUGUGAUGCCAAGGACAGAACUGAAAACAUGGAAAAGCUGUUACAGAUUUCUUUUAAAGGAAGCUCAGAGGAACCCUGAAGCAGCUGGGGAGUCCAAAGCUCAAAGCUGAUUUUCUGGGGAUUUUUUUUGCUUUUACAGACUCAGAUUUUUUUUCUUCUGUGAAAUGAGUAGGUUGGAAUACAUGAUCUCUGAGGGCUCUUUUAGCCCUAACAUGACUAUUUUUGUAAAUUAAAAAUAAAA